AUUCCUGUAAUGGCUGCUUCCUGGAAGGUCAUGUCACGUGGAACCUCUUAAUCUCAGCAUCCGGAGCUCCAGGAAGGGAAAAUUUCAAGUCAGAUAGAAUUCUAUAUAUACCAUUUCUUUGGAACCUUCAGCCCUCAAGAUUCCAAUAUCAUGACCUCAGUUUCAACACAGUUGUGCUUAGUCCUCAUGUCACUGCUUUUGGUGCUGCCUGUUGUGGAAGCAGUAGAAGGCGGUGAUGCAAUCGCCCGGGGGUAUACGCAUGAAAAAGAAAUGGACAGAUGUGACUUUGAAAGGCCUACUGAGUCAAACCUCACCCUGAAAACCUUUGUGCUAUAGAGGCUAAACCUGAGCUUUGGUGUGUGAAAGGUUCCAAGAAUCAGUAAAUAAGGGAGUUUCACAUUUUUCAUUGUUUCCAUGAAAUGGGAACAAACAUACAUUUAUAAAUAGAAAAAAAAAUGUUUUCUUUACAACAAAUAAUGCACAGAAAAAUGCAGCCUAUAAUUUGCUAGUUAGAAAGGCGGUCAAAGAAGUAAGAUGGCUGAAAUUUACAUAAGUAAUAUUUCAUAAUCUUAGAAUUCUCUCAAAGCAUGUGAAAUAGGAAGAAGGAAGUUCUUGCCCAGAAUCUUAGGAAAUCACCACUGUUCGGUUAUAAUCACUGC
rnacentral:lncRNA from 1 species